rnacentral:rRNA from 1 species
UACGGAGGGGGCAAGCGUUGUUCGGAAUUACUGGGCGUAAAGGGCGCGCAGGCGGCUGCUCAAGUCAGGCGUGAAAGGCCUGGGCUCAACCCGGGAAUUGCGCUUGAGACUGGGCUGGCUUGAGUGCGGGAGAGGAUGGUGGAAUUCCCAGUGUAGAGGUGAAAUUCGUAGAUAUUGGGAAGAACACCGGUGGUGAAGGCGGCCAUCUGGACCGCAACUGACGCUGAGGCGCGAAAGCGUGGGUAGCAAACAGG